rnacentral:rRNA from 1 species
UGAGGAAUAUUGGUCAAUGGGCGAGAGCCUGAACCAGCCAAGUAGCGUGCAGGAUGACGGCCCUAUGGGUUGUAAACUGCUUUUAUAUGGGAAUAAAGUGAGGGACGUGUCCCUUAUUGCAUGUACCAUAUGAAUAAGGACCGGCUAAUUCCGUGCCAGCAGCCGCGGUAAUACGGAAGGUCCAGGCGUUAUCCGGAUUUAUUGGGUUUAAAGGGAGCGUAGGCUGUUUGUUAAGCGUGUUGUGAAAUGUAAGAGCUCAACUUUUAGAUUGCAGCGCGAACUGGCAGACUUGAGUGCGCACAACGUAGGCGGAAUUCAUGGUGUAGCGGUGAAAUGCUUAGAUAUCAUGACGAACUCCGAUUGCGAAGGCAGCUUACGGGAGCGCAACUGACGCUAAAGCUCGAAGGUGCGGGUACCGAACAGG